UCGAUUGGGCCGGCGCGUGACGUCACGCCGUUUUAGCCAAACAAAUGGGUUUCGGGGCGAGCGUUGGGCUCCGCCGCGCCGCGCUGGGCGCUCGGUCCGCCUCAGCGGUGGGGAGCGAGCCAGGCCUCCCGCCGCCGCCGCCGCCGCCGCCGCAUCGGGGUGUGCAGCCCCGGGCCAGGCCCGGGCCGGGGCAGGAGCGCAGAGUUAAAUGGAAAGUCUCUUUAUAUUGUUUGGAAAGAAUGUAGGCUUGCAGAGGGAAACCCAGUGUGAGAUACUGAGUCAUUUGGUAUAAACUGCUGAGCUAACUACCUUCUGAAAGGUAAGCCACCACCUUUUCCUGAAUUGGGCCAGAUUGGGUAUCAUAUGACACAGCAAUAUCCCUAACUAAUAGUUGGAAUUACAGAUGAUUUUGAAUAUUAGGUGAUGUGGGAAACAAA
rnacentral:lncRNA from 1 species